CCUACGGGGGGCAGCAGUGGGGAAUAUUGGACAAUGGGGGCAACCCUGAUCCAGCCAUGCCGCGUGUGUGAAGAAGGCCCUCGGGUUGUAAAGCACUUUCAGUGAGGAAGAACGCCUGGUGGUUAAUACCCAUCAGGAAAGACAUCACUCACAGAAGAAGCACCGGCUAACUCCGUGCCAGCAGCCGCGGUAAUACGGAGGGUGCGAGCGUUAAUCGGAAUUACUGGGCGUAAAGCGCGCGUAGGUGGCUUGAUAAGCCGGUUGUGAAAGCCCCGGGCUCAACCUGGGAACGGCAUCCGGAACUGUCAAGCUAGAGUGCAGGAGAGGAAGGUAGAAUUCCCGGUGUAGCGGUGAAAUGCGUAGAGAUCGGGAGGAAUACCAGUGGCGAAGGCGGCCUACUGGACUGACACUGACACUGAGGUGCGAAAGCGUGGGUAGCAAACAGGAUUAGAUACCCUGGUAGUC
rnacentral:rRNA from 1 species